rnacentral:lncRNA from 1 species
AAUAAACAUUAACGACAACAUUUAUCAACAACAAACCUUAAACAACAUACAAGAUACAACAAACAAAUCUUAUUAAAAACAAUAAAAUCAUCAACACAUAGCAUAAACUACAUACAACAUACUACUUUUAUUAAUAACAACAACAACAUAUCAGCUCAAAGAAAUAUUCAGAAAUGUACAUGUCCCAUAAUGGCAUCCACAAUGAAAGGAGGAUGAAGCUGAAGUGAGAGCUGCAAACUUGUGCUAAUUUUGAAUGGAUCUCAUCCUGGGUCUUUCACACAAGUUUUCAGAGCACACUUUAGCUUCAGAAAGUUCAAACAUUAUGAAACAAGCUAUUGAAACAUAAACAAUAAUACAUACAUAGAUUUUGAAACAUAAACUAUUAUGAAGACAAG